AUUGAACGCUGGCGGCAUGCUUUACACAUGCAAGUCGAACGGCAGCGCGGGCUUCGGCCUGGCGGCGAGUGGCGAACGGGUGAGUAAUGCAUCGGAACGUGCCCAGUAGUGGGGGAUAGCCCGGCGAAAGCCGGAUUAAUACCGCAUACGACCUGAGGGUGAAAGCGGGGGACCGAAAGGCCUCGCGCUAUUGGAGCGGCCGAUGUCGGAUUAGCUAGUUGGUGGGGUAAAGGCUUACCAAGGCGACGAUCCGUAGCUGGUCUGAGAGGACGACCAGCCACACUGGGAGUGAGACACGGCCCAGACUCCUACGGGAGGCAGCAGUGGGGAAUUUUGGACGAUGGGGGCAACCCUGAUCCAGCCAUGCCGCGUGCGGGAAGAAGGCCUUCGGGUUGUAAACCGCUUUUGUUCGGGAAGAAAUCCUCUGGGCUAAUACCCCGGGGGGAUGACGGUACCGGAAGAAUAAGCACCGGCUAACUACGUG
rnacentral:rRNA from 1 species